rnacentral:rRNA from 1 species
CCUACGGGUGGCCGCAGUGGGGAAUAUUGGACAAUGGGCGGAACCCUGAUCCAGCGACGCCGCGUGCAUGAAGAAGUAUCUCGGACUGUAAAGCUCUAUUAGCACGGAAGAAAGAACUGACGGUACCUGACCAAGAAGCCCCGCCUAACUACGUGCCAGCAGCCUCGGUAAUACGUAGGGGGCAAGCUUUAUCCGGAUUUACUGGGUGUAAAGGUAGCGGAGACGUUAAUGAAAGUCUGGAGUGAAUGCAGGGGCUCAACCCCUGAACUGCGUUGGAAACUGUAUGACUGGAGAGCAGGAGAGGUAAGUGGAAUGCAUGGUGUAGCGGUGAAAUGCUUAGAUAUCAUGAGGAACACCAGUGGCGAAGGCGGCUUACUGGACUGUAACUGACGUUGAGGCUCGAAAGCGUGGGGAGCAAACAGGAUUAGAUACCCGGGUAGUC